rnacentral:rRNA from 1 species
AACGCUGGCGGCGCGCUUAACACAUGCAAGUCGAGCGAGAACCGGGGCUUCGGCCCCGGGGACAGCGGCGAACGGGUGAGUAACACGUGGGUAAUCUGCCCUCGGUUCCGGGAUAGCCCGGGGAAACUCGGAUUAAUACCGGAUAGCCUCACGAGCCUUCGGGCGCGUGAGAAAAGGUAGCUUCGGCCUCUGGCCGAGGAUGAGCCCGCGGCGGAUUAGCUUGUUGGCGGGGUAACGGCCCACCAAGGCGACGAUCCGUAGCUGGUCUGGAAGGACGAUCAGCACACUGGGACUAAGACACGGCCCAGACUCCUACGGGAGGCAGCAGUGGGGAAUCUUGCGCAAUGGGCGAAAGCCUGACGCAGCGACGCCGCGUGAGGGAAGAAGGCCCUAGGGUUGUAAACCUCUUUCAGGUGGGACGAAGCCACUCGGGUGAAUAGCCCAGAGGGUGACGGUACCUCCAGAAGAAGCCCCGGCUAACUACGUGCCAGCAGCCGCGGUAACAC